AGAACGAACGCUGGCGGCAGGCCUAACACAUGCAAGUCGAACGCGACCUUCGGGUCGAGUGGCGCACGGGUGAGUAACGCGUGGGAAUCUGCCCUGUGGUACGGAAUAACAUCGGGAAACUGGUGCUAAUACCGUAUAUCCCCUGAGGGGGAAAGAUUUAUCGCCAUGGGAGGAGCCCGCGUAGGAUUAGCUAGUUGGUGAGGUAACGGCUCACCAAGGCGACGAUCCUUAGCUGGUUUGAGAGGGCGACCGGCCACACUGGGACUGAGACACGGCCCAGACUCCUACGGGAGGCAGCAGUGGGGAAUAUUGCGCAAUGGGCGAAAGCCUGACGCAGCGACGCCGCGUGGGGGAUGAAGGCCUUCGGGUUGUAAACCCCUUUCAGCAGGGACGAAGCGAAAGUGACGGUACCUGCAGAAGAAGCGCCGGCUAACUACGCGCCAGCAGCCGC
rnacentral:rRNA from 1 species